UUUGUCCUAUGGAAAUGUGAGAUGCAGUGUAUGGAGUGUCAAAUUUCUAGUAUGAGAACUUAACGAUUUAAGUCCUUCUUAAAUGAGGCCAUUUACCCAUAGAGGGUGCCAGGCCCGUAUAACGUUAAUGAUUACUAGAUGACAUUUCCAAAGAGUCGUGUUGCUUGAUAGUGCAGCACUAAGUGGGUGGUAAACUCCAUCUAAAACUAAAUAUAACCAUGAGACCGAUAGUAAACAAGUACCGUGAGGGAAAGUUGAAAAGAACUCUGAAUAGAGAGUUAAAUAGUACGUGAAACUGCUUAGAGGUUAAGCCCGAUGAACCUGAAUAUCCGUUAUAGAAAAUUCAUCAUUAUGAUUUUAAUAUAUUAUAAUAAUGGUGUGCAUUUUUUCUAUAAAGGACAUUGUAAUCUAUUAAUAUUAAAUAUUUAUCAUAAGAUCAGCGUAAGUUUAUUCAAAUUAUUUUGCUUGCAAUUUAAUAUAGAAUAAAUGCUUUUGAUUUGAUAAAGUAUUGAUAGUUUUAAUAUAUAGUGCUUAAAUAUUAUUUUAUAAUGGCAUAUUAAUCAUUGAUUUUUAUGUUUAUUAUAUGCACUUAUAUGAUUAACAAUGCGAAAGAUUCAGGAUACCUUCGGGACCCGUCUUGAAACACGGACCAAGGAGUCUAACAUAUAUGCAAGUUAUUGGGAAAAACUUAAUAGCGAAAUUAACAUAACUUAAUGGGAUUAGUUUUUAGUAUAGUCUAUUAAUUCAAUCCCGGGGCGUUCUAUACAGUUAUGUAUAAUAAUAUUUAUAUUAUUUAUACCUCUAUCUAGAGCGUACCUUGAGCAUAUAUGCUGUGACCCGAAAGAUGGUGAACUAUACUUGAUCAGGUUGAAGUCAGGGGAAACCCUGAUGGAAGACCGAAACAGUUCUGACGUGCAAAUCGAUUGUCAGAAUUGAGUAUAGGGGCGAAAGACCAAUCGAACCAUCUAGUAGCUGGUUCCCUCCGAAGUUUCCCUCAGGAUAGCUGGUGCAUUUAAAGAUUAUGUAAAAUAAUCUUAUCUGGUAAAGCGAAUGAUUAGAGGCCUUAGGGUCGAAACGACCUUAACCUAUUCUCAAACUUUAAAUGGGUAAGAACCUCACCUUUCUUGGUAUGAAGGUUGUGGUUGUGAUAUAAUGUGCCCAGUGGGCCACUUUUGGUAAGCAGAACUGGCGCUGUGGGAUGAACCAAACGUAGGGUUACGGUGCCCAAAUUAACAACUCAUGCAGAUACCAUGAAAGGCGU
rnacentral:rRNA from 1 species